GGGACGUGCAAAUUAAAAGCACCAUCAUCCGAGCACUGGAAUGGAUUCAGUGCCAAACAGCUGGCGGAUUAUAUGCUUUAUAAAACUCAGAAGGUGUUUGUAAAGGAAUGUUCCGAGUCGCUGGAGAAAUACUGCCGGUUCUUCACAUCCUUGGGCGAGUCAAUGAUUUCUGUGUUGUAUAUUGAUUCUCUGGCCUCAAACUCCACGUCAGCAUGGCCUGUAGAUCAAUACAAACUCCUUCAAGUUUCUUUUCAACACACCAAAAAAUUCAAUCGGUGUAUUGACUGUAUUACUGCCAUACAGUCUCAUGUAAUUUCAAGCACUCAGAUGCUCUCUGGACUUGGUCUUCC
ensembl:lncRNA